rnacentral:rRNA from 1 species
AUCUUUUUGAAGAGUUCUAAUCGAUAAAAAGGAUUGCGACCUCGAUGUUGGAUUAAAAUUAAUUUCUGGUGCAGAAGCUAGGAAUAUUAAGUCUGUUCGACUUUUAAAAUUUUACAUGAUCUGAGUUUAAACCGGUGUGAGCCAGGUUGGUUUCUAUCUUGAAUUAAUUAGUAUGUUUUAGUACGAAAGGACCAAACAUUAAAUAAAUUAUUUUGAAUUGAAUAAAAUUAUUGC